rnacentral:rRNA from 1 species
AUACGGAGGGUGCAAGCGUUAUUCUGAAUCACUGGGCGUAAAGGACGCGUAGGCGGGUUGGCAAGUCAGAUGUGAAAUCCUACAGCUUAACUGUAGAACUGCAUUUGAAACUGCUAACCUAGAUUAUGGGAGGGGGAGAUGGAAUUAGUGGUGUAGGGGUAAAAUCCGUAGAUAUCACUAGGAAUACCGAAAGCGAAGGCGAUCUCCUGGAACAUAACUGACGCUCAGGCGUGAAAGCGUGGGGAGCAAACAGGAUUAGAUACCCUAGUAGUCC